rnacentral:rRNA from 1 species
CAUGCAAGUCGAACGCAGUAGCAAUACUGAGUGGCAGACGGGUGAGUAUAAUGUGGGAAUCUGCCUUUUGGUUUGGAAUAACUCGGGGAAACCUGAGCUAAUACUGGAUAAGCCCUUACGGGGAAAGCUUUAUGCGCCAAAAGAUGAGCCCGCACUUGAUUAGCUUGUUGGUGAGGUAAAAGCUCACCAAGGCAACGAUCAAUAGCUGUUCUUAGAGGAAGACCAGCCACAUUGGGACUGAGACACGGCCCAGACUCCUACGGGAGGCAGCAGUAAGGAAUCUUGCACAAUGGGGGAAACCCUGAUGCAGCGAUGCCGCGUGAGUGAAGAAGGCCUUUGGGUUGUAAAACUCUUUCGUCGGGGAAGAAAAUGACUGUACCCGAAUAAG